rnacentral:rRNA from 1 species
GAUGCGGUAGAGGAGCGUUCUGUAAGCCUGUGAAGGUGCGUUGUAAAGCGCGCUGGAGGUAUCAGAAGUGCGAAUGCUGACAUAAGUAACGAUAAGGGGAGUGAAAAACUUCCCCGCCGGAAGACCAAGGGUUCCUAUCCCAUGCUAAUCAGGGUAGGGUAAGUCGGCCCCUAAGGCGAGGCAGAGAUGCGUAGCUGAUGGGAAACAGGUCAAUAUUCCUGUACCGAUGUGUAGUGCGAUGUGGGGACGGAGAAGGUUAGCUCAGCAGACUGUUGGAUAUGUCUGUUCAAGCCUGUAGUCGUGCCUGGUAGGUAAAUCCGCCGGGCUUAGAUGAGGGGUGAUAACGAGGAAGCUUGCUUCCGAAGUGAGUGAUACCCUGCUUCCAGGAAAAGCCACUAAGCUUCAGCUACACACGACCGUACCGCAAACCGACACUGGUGCGCGAGAUGAGUAUUCUAAGGCGCUUGAGAGAACUCGGGAGAAGGAACUCGGCAAAUUGGUACCGUAACUUCGGGAAAAGGUACGCCCCGGUAGCUUGGCUGAUUUACUUCAGUAGGGCGAAAGGGUUGCAAUAAACUGGUGGCUGCGACUGUUUAAUAAAAACACAGCACUCUGCAAACACGAAAGUGGACGUAUAGGGUGUGACGCCUGCCCGGUGCUGGAAGAUUAAAUGAUGGGGUGCAAGCUCUUGAUUGAAGUCCCAGUAAACGGCGGCCGUAACUAUAACGGUCCUAAGGUAGCGAAAUUCCUUGUCGGGUAAGUUCCGACCUGCACGAAUGGCGUAACGAUGGCGGCGCUGUCUCCACCCGAGACUCAGUGAAAUUGAAAUCGCUGUGAAGAUGCAGUGUAUCCGCGGCUAGACGGAAAGACCCCGUGAACCUUUACUAUAGCUUUGCACUGGACUUUGAAUUUGCUUGUGUAGGAUAGGUGGGAGGCUUUGAAGCGUGGACGCCAGUUCGCGUGGAGCCAUCCUUGAAAUACCACCCUGGCAACUUUGAGGUUCUAACUCAGGUCCGUUAUCCGGAUCGAGGACAGUGUAUGGUGGGUAGUUUGACUGGGGCGGUCUCCUCCUAAAGAGUAACGGAGGAGUACGAAGGUGCGCUCAGACCGGUCGGAAAUCGGUCGUAGAGUAUAAAGGCAAAAGCGCGCUUGACUGCGAGACAGACACGUCGAGCAGGUACGAAAGUAGGUCUUAGUGAUCCGGUGGUUCUGUAUGGAAGGGCCAUCGCUCAACGGAUAAAAGGUACUCCGGGGAUAACAGGCUGAUACCGCCCAAGAGUUCAUAUCGACGGCGGUGUUUGGCACCUCGAUGUCGGCUCAUCACAUCCUGGGGCUGAAGCCGGUCCCAAGGGUAUGGCUGUUCGCCAUUUAAAGUGGUACGCGAGCUGGGUUUAGAACGUCGUGAGACAGUUCGGUCCCUAUCUGCCGUGGACGUUUGAGAUUUGAGAGGGGCUGCUCCUAGUACGAGAGGACCGGAGUGGACGAACCUCUGGUGUUCCGGUUGUCACGCCAGUGGCAUUGCCGGGUAGCUAUGUUCGGAAUAGAUAACCGCUGAAAGCAUCUAAGCGGGAAACUAGCCUCAAGAUGAGAUCUCACUGGGACCUUGAGUCCCCUGAAGGGCCGUCGAAGACUACGACGUUGAUAGGUUGGGUGUGUAAGCGCUGUGAGGCGUUGAGCUAACCAAUACUAAUUGCCCGUGAGGCUUGACC